UACGAAGGGGCUAGCGUUGUUCGGAAUUACUGGGCGUAAAGCGCACGUAGGCGGAUUGUUAAGUCGGGGUGAAAUCCUGAGGCUCAACCUCAGAACUGCCUUCGAUACUGGCAAUCUCGAGUCCGGAAGAGGUUGGUGGAACAGCUAGUGUAGAGGUGAAAUUCGUAGAUAUUAGCUAGAACACCAGUGGCGAAGGCGGCCAACUGGUCCCGGUACGUGACG
rnacentral:rRNA from 1 species